rnacentral:lncRNA from 1 species
AAUGCCUUAUCGGAUACACCAUUCUGUGCCUUCCAUUUUAACAGUUCUAGUGUUGUACCCAGUUUUUUUUGCCCAUCCUGGACAGAUGGGUAUAAUAAUUUCUUGUGAUCUUCUAACAUGUGGUCAAACUUUGUCUUCUCUUUUUCACUUUCGCAAUCUUUUUGUGCCUCACGAAUGACAUCACCAAGAGCAUCAUCUUCAAUAGGUGCGCCUUCUGCAUCUGCCUCAUCUUCAGCUUCUCCCAUUGCUGUAUCACCGAAGUCACCGUAUUGAGCAAUAAUGUCGUCAGGCUCCAACUGUUCUUCUUCACCU